GAGACAUUCUUGGUCAUUUAGAGGAAGUAAAAGUCGUAACAAGGUCUCCGUAGGUGAACCUGCGGAGGGAUCAUUACAAGAACGCCCGGGCUUCGGCCUGGUUAUUCAUAACCCUUUGUUGUCCGACUCUGUUGCCUCCGGGGCGACCCUGCCUUCGGGCGGGGGCUCCGGGUGGACACUUCAAACUCUUGCGUAACUUUGCAGUCUGAGUAAACUUAAUUAAUAAAUUAAAACUUUUAACGACGGAUCUCUUGGUUCUGGCAUCGAUGAAGAACGCAGCGAAAUGCGAUAAGUAAUGUGAAUUGCAGAAUUCAGUGAAUCAUCGAAUCUUUGAACGCACAUUGCGCCCCCUGGUAUUCCGGGGGGCAUGCCUGUUCGAGCGUCAUUUCACCACUCAAGCCUCGCUUGGUAUUGGGCAACGCGGUCCGCCGCGUGCCUCAAAUCGUCCGGCUGGGUCUUCUGUCCCCUAAGCGUUGUGGAAACUAUUCGCUAAAGGGUGUUCGGGAGGCUACGCCGUAAAACAACCCCAUUUCUAAGGUUGACCUCGGAUCAGGUAGGGAUACCCGCUGAACUUAAGCAUAUCAAUAAGCGG
rnacentral:rRNA from 1 species